GUGUUGGUGAUUUGUCGCAAGGGUCACACCUCUUCCCAUUCCGAACAGAGAAGUUAAGCCUUGUCGAGCCGAUGAUAGUCUUUUUGGCGAAAGUAGGCAGUCGCCAGCACU
rnacentral:rRNA from 2 species